GCUGAGGUUUAUCCCGAUGCAGCUUUUUCUGUUAUAGACCUACACGCUGGGAACGCCUCAGACAGAUACAUGUGGUUUUCCUUCAUUCACAGAACCAUGUUUAGAUCUGUGGGAAAGAACUACAGGACAUCG
rnacentral:snoRNA from 1 species